rnacentral:lncRNA from 1 species
GCCACACCUCAGCCCCUUGGUGAUCAUUUUAAAUUCUAUCUUAUUCUAUAUGCCUUUUUUUCACAGCAUCCUAUGUUUUUCUUUUUAAUAGAAUUCCUUUUCUGAGGAAACAUCUUUUCACGUUUGAAAAUCAGAUGGAGACGUUAUUUAUAUAAAAUUCAACAAUUAGGCCAGAUGGGAUAGUGCACGCCUGUAAUCCCUGCAGCUCGGGAGGCUGAGACUGGAAGGUCAUGAGUUCAAAGCCAGCCUCAGCAAUGUGAGGCGCUAAGCAACUCAGUGAGACCCUGUCUCUAAAUAAAAUACAAAAUAGGGCUGGGGAUGUGGCUCAGUGAAGGAAUGUUCCUGAGUUCAAUCCCUGGUGCCCCACCCCCCAAAAAGUUCAACAAUUAUAUAAUUUGAUGAUUUAUGAUGUUAUAAGUUCUAUAACUGCCACCAAACUCAAGAUACAGGGAUUUUUUUUAUUUUUAUUUUUUUUGAUACUAGAGAUUGAACUCAAAGGCACUUUACCACUGAGCCACAUCCCCAGCCUUUUUAUUGUUAUAUUUUGAGUCAGGCCUCACUAAGUUGCUGAGGCUCACCUUGAACUUCCACUGCUAUAAACAUUUGCAUACAAAUCUUUGUGUGGAGUGGAGUUGCUGGGCCUUAAGUUUGUGUUUAGCUAUUUUAGAAGCUGCCAGGCUUUCCCAAAGUGGUUGUACCACUUUACAUUCCCUCCAGCAGUGCAUGAAAGUUCCAGUUGUUCCACAUACUUGUCAACACUUGGCAUUUGCUAUUAUGAAUUAAACUACUUGCAUAUCUUAACUCUUGAAAGUCAUCUGCUAG